rnacentral:tRNA from 1 species
GCGGAAGUAGCUCAGUGGUAGAGCACAACCUUGCCAAGGUUGG